GGCUCGAUGGCGGAGGGUCCGCGCCUGUGCUGCAUAUCAUGGCAAGAAAUGGGUAAUCCAGGAGGGGUCCGUUCGACUCGGGCUCGAGCCA